CCUACGGGAGGCAGCAGUGGGGAAUAUUGCACAAUGGGCGAAACCCUGAUGCAGCGACGCCGCGUGAAGGAAGAAGUAUUUCGGUAUGGAAACUCCUAUCUGCAGGGAAGAAAAGGACGGUACCUGACUAAGAACCCCCGGCUAACUACGUGCCAGCAGCCGCGGUCAUAAGUAGGGGGCAAGCGUUAUCCGGAUUUACUGGGGGUUAAGGGAGCGUAGGCGGGUUAGCAAGUUAGAAGUGAAAGCCCGGGGGUCAACUCCGGGACUGCUUUUGAAACUGUUGAACUAGAGUGCAGGAGAGGUAAGUGGAAUGCCUAGUGUAGCGGUGAAAUGCGUAGAUAUUAGGCGGAACACCAGUGGCGAAGGCAGCCUACUGGACUGUAAAUGACGCUGAGGCUCGAAAGCGUGGGGAGCAAACAGGAUUAGAUACCCUUGUAGUC
rnacentral:rRNA from 1 species